GAGGAGGUGGUAGUGGAAUAUGGAAGAUCAUUUACAGUGGCAUAUAUAAAUUCUCUGUUUGGUUCCUAAUAGGAUGACAGUUACUUUCUGUUUUGAUUAUGAAUUGUAUAAUGCACUUGGUUGGCCUUGCUGGUGCCUGCAUCCUUAGAUAGUAUGGAUUCAGUUUUAUCUGUUGCCAAGUCUUGCCUUUAGAGACAGUUUAACAGUACUGGAAACGCAUAAUUGAUAUCCAGUUAUUGCCUGAUAUAUAGCUUUUGAUAGCUUCUGAUCUUGAUUUCUUGUCCUCUCUUUCCCACUCCUCCCCACCAUUUUUCUCUAUUUCUUCUUCUAAGAAAAUCAUUGAAAUACUUGAAAUUUUGAUAAGCUGUGUUAGUAAACUUGUAAUUGUCAAAUUCUAGAUGAUUAAAAGCAAUUUACUCCACAAUCUAACUCCAGUUAUUUUAUUUUCCAUUACAAUGAAAGAUUUCUAAAGAAAUUUUCACAGAACUUGGUGUACGCCUUAAGUUUCCCACUGUCUACAUGAGUUUUCUGAUUUUAGUGAAGCUUAGAGUUAGUUAUUUAACCUAAUUCAUUUCAUACACCAUCAUCAGAAUAUGUCUGUCUUCAGAAUUCAGACAAUCUUUGAUAAUAACUUCAAAAGUUUAAUUGAAACUAUUAGUUUCGCCACACAGCCAAGUUGCUUGCCGGCCUUUUACUUGAUCCUUAGAUUGCCUUCUAUAACUUGGAUAGUAUAAUAUCUUUCUUUGAAUGUUUUUGGUAACCUCAAAUUUUUAAAAGACAAAUUUUCCUUCAUGGCUAUUGAGUUUGGCAAAGAACCGGUCAUUUUAACCACCUUCUCCAUCUAACCCAACAAAAAAAAAAAAAAUCUCAUUUCCAUUGUUGCUGCAGCUUUCUUGGGACAACUCAA
rnacentral:misc_RNA from 1 species